rnacentral:rRNA from 1 species
GCGUAAGCGCGCGCAGGCGGUUUCUUAAGUCUGAUGUGAAAGCCCCCGGCUCAACCGGGGAGGGUCAUUGGAAACUGGGGAACUUGAGUGCAGAAGAGGAGAGUGGAAUUCCACGUGUAGCGGUGAAAUGCGUAGAGAUGUGGAGGAACACCAGUGGCGAAGGCGACUCUCUGGUCUGUAACUGACGCUGAGGCGCGAAAGCGUGGGGAGCGAACAGGAUUAGAUACCCUGGUAGUCCACGCCGUAAACGAUGAGUGCUAAGUGUUAGAGGGUUUCCGCCCUUUAGUGCUGCAGCAAACGCAUUAAGCACUCCGCCUGGGGAGUACGGUCGCAAGACUGAAACUCAAAGGAAUUGACGGGGGCCCGCACAAGCGGUGGAGCAUGUGGUUUAAUUCGAAGCAACGCGAAGAACCUUACCAGGUCUUGACAUCCUCUGACAACCCUAGAGAUAGGGCUUCCCCUUCGGGGGCAGAGUGACAGGUGGUGCAUGGUUGUCGUCAGCUCGUGUCGUGAGAUGUUGGGUUAAGUCCCGCAACGAGCGCAACCCUUGAUCUUAGUUGCCAGCAUUCAGUUGGGCACUCUAAGGUGACUGCCGGUGACAAACCGGAGGAAGGUGGGGAUGA